rnacentral:rRNA from 1 species
AGAGUGAACGCUGGCGGUAGGCCUAACACAUGCAAGUCGAACGGCAGCACAGUGGUAGCAAUACCAUGGGUGGCGAGUGGCGGACGGGUGAGGAAUACAUCGGAAUCUACCUUUUCGUGGGGGAUAACGUAGGGAAACUUACGCUAAUACCGCAUACGCCCUUCGGGGGAAAGCCGGGGAUCGCAAGACCUGGCGCGGAUAGAUGAGCCGAUGUCGGAUUAGCUAGUUGGUGAGGUAAUGGCUCACCAAGGCGACGAUCCGUAGCUGGUCUGAGAGGAUGAUCAGCCACACUGGAACUGAGACACGGUCCAGACUCCUACGGGAGGCAGCAGUGGGAAUAUGGACAAUGGGCGCAAGCCUGAGUCCAGCCAUACCGCGUGGGUGAAGAAGGCCUUCGGUUGUAAAGUCCCGUUUUGUUAGGAAAG